rnacentral:rRNA from 1 species
CGCCUCUUGAAACAAACAUAAGAGGUCCCGCCUGCCCGGUGACUAUUAGUUUAACGGCCGCGGUAUUUUGACCGUGCAAAGGUAGCGCAAUCACUUGUCCUUUAAAUGAAGACCUGUAUGAAUGGCACCACGAGGGCUCAACUGUCUCCUUUCUCCUGUCAAUGAAAUUGAUCUCCCCGUGCAGAAGCGGGGAUUCCCCCAUAAGACGAGAAGACCCUAUGGAGCUUUAGGCACCAGAACAGACUACGUUAAGCACCUUAAUACAAAAGACAAAACUACCUAGACCCUGUUCUAAUGCCUUUGGUUGGGGCGACCGCGGGGAAACAAAAAACCCCCACGUGGACUAAGAGCACCUCACUCUUAAAACCAAGGGCCACAACCCUAAGUAACAGAACCUCUGACCCUAAAUGAUCCGGUACAACCGAUCAACGAACCGAGUUACCCUAGGGAUAACAGCGCAAUCCCCUUCUAGAGUCCAUAUCGACAAGGGGGUUUACGACCUCGAUGUUGGAUCAGGACAUCCUAUUGGUGCAGCCGCUAUUAAGGGUUCGUUUGUUCAACGAUUAAAGUCCU